GUGAAACAUUUUUAUUGUAUAACAAGAGUGUUUCUUUAUUCCCAGGAGCUGUGUGCCUGAGAUCAAGGUCAAAGCUGAUAAGACUCUAGCACAAAGUCUUCUAAUGCAGGGCAUUGCUACAGCAGAUGGCACCUGGACCCAGGUCUGCAAAAACCAGCAAGUGACUUGGAGAUCCCCAGCAACAGAGGACAUAGAUUCCUUG
rnacentral:lncRNA from 1 species